rnacentral:rRNA from 1 species
UCUUUAUCACCGAGUGCUUGCACUCACCGGUAAAGUGGUUGAGUGGCGAACGGGUGAGUAACACGUGGGCAACCUGCCCAAAAGAGGGGGAUAACACUUGGAAACGGGUGCUGAUACCGCAUAACCAUAGUUACCGCAUGGUAGCUAUGUAAAAGGUGGCUAUGCUACCGCUUUUGGAUGGGCCCGCGGCGCAUUAGCUAGUUGGUGGGGUAAAGGCUUACCAAGGCAAUGAUGCGUAGCCGAACUGAGAGGUUGAUCGGCCACAUUGGGACUGAGACACGGCCCAAACUCCUACGGGAGGCAGCAGUAGGGAAUCUUCCACAAUGGGCGAAAGCCUGAUGGAGCAACGCCGCGUGGGUGAAGAAGGUCUUCGGAUCGUAAAACCCUGUUGUUAGAGAAGAAAGUGCGUGAGAGUAACUGUUCACGUUUCGACGGUAUCUAACCAGAAAGCCACGGCUAACUACGUGCCAGCAGCCGCGGUAAUACGUAGGUGGCAAGCGUUAUCCGGAUUUAUUGGGCGUAAAGGGAACGCAGGCGGUCUUUUAAGUCUGAUGUGAAAGCCUUCGGCUUAACCGGAGUAGUGCAUUGGAAACUGGGAGACUUGAGUGCAGAAGAGGAGAGUGGAACUCCAUGUGUAGCGGUGAAAUGCGUAGAUAUAUGGAAGAACACCAGUGGCGAAAGCGGCUCUCUGGUCUGUAACUGACGCUGAGGUUCGAAAGC